UCCGUAGGCGGGCGUCUAAGUCAGUGGUGAAAUCUUACAGCUCAACUGUAAAAUUGCCAUUGAUACUGGAUGUCUUGAAUUAGUGUGAAGUGGUUAGAAUGUGUAGUGUAGCGGUGAAAUGCAUAGAUAUUACACAGAAUACCAAUUGCGAAGGCAGAUCACUAACACUAUAUUGACGCUGAGGGACGAAAGCGUGGGGAGCGAACAAGAUUAGAUACCCUGGUAGUCC
rnacentral:rRNA from 1 species